rnacentral:rRNA from 6 species
UUGGACCUGAUAUCAGACA